GAUGAAGAACGCAGCGAAAUGCGAUAAGUAAUGUGAAUUGCAGAAUUCAGUGAAUCAUCGAAUCUUUGAACGCACAUUGCGCCCGCUAGUAUUCUGGCGGGCAUGCCUGUUCGAGCGUCAUUUCAACCCUCAAGCCUCGCUUGGUAUUGGGCAACGCGGUCCGCCGCGUGCCUCAAAUCGACCGGCUGGGUCUUCUGUCCCCUAAGCGUUGUGGAAACUAUUCGCUAAAGGGUGUUCGGGAGGCUACGCCGUAAAACAACCCCAUUUCUAAGGUUGACCUCGGAUCAGGUAGGGAUACCCGCUGAACUUAAGCAUAUCAAUAAGCGGAGGA
rnacentral:misc_RNA from 1 species